AGCGAACGCUGGCGGCAGGCUUAACACAUGCAAGUCGAGCGGGCACUUCGGUGUCAGCGGCAGACGGGUGAGUAACACGUGGGAACGUACCCUUUGGUUCGGAAUAACGCUGGGAAACUAGCGCUAAUACCGGAUACGCCCUUUUGGGGAAAGGCUUGCUGCCGAAGGAUCGGCCCGCGUCUGAUUAGCUAGUUGGUGGGGUAAUGGCCUACCAAGGCGACGAUCAGUAGCUGGUCUGAGAGGAUGAUCAGCCACACUGGGACUGAGACACGGCCCAGACUCCUACGGGAGGCAGCAGUGGGGAAUAUUGGACAAUGGGCGCAAGCCUGAUCCAGCCAUGCCGCGUGAGUGAUGAAGGCCUUAGGGUUGUAAAGCUCUUUUGUCCGGGACGAUAAUGACGGUACCGGAAGAAUAAGCUCCGGCUAACUUCGUG
rnacentral:rRNA from 1 species